rnacentral:lncRNA from 1 species
CCCAAUAAGAUAUAUUGGCCUGGGCACUUUCACACUUUAGGAGACCAUCUUAUACUUUGUAUUAUAAAGUAGUAGGAAUUCUAUCUUGAAUUCUGGAGACUGCUUUACAAACAACUGCUUGCCUUCUAUCUACUAUAUAAGGUAGAUGAGACAAAGGUAAAGAAGCGUAAGACUAAUAGCUUAGAUUUACUACUUGAUCCUUUUCUCUAGUAAUUUGUAUGAGAUCGCGAUCACUACGCUCGGUGAGGGCGACUGGAGGCCCACUCGCAGACUUGGCCAAUCAGAGGCCCCUGAUAUUAAUAUUACAGACACAAGUGGCCGGGAUAGGGGAUACCCCUUCCUAGUAGAGCACAUUUGAUCCGAUUAGAGUGCCCCGGCCUUGGUAAGUGACAACGGAAAUCUGGGGGUACCCGAAGCCAUCGAAUCAGCGGCCAGAAUGUCUUAUCCUAGCAAGCAUUGGUCAUAACCCUAAUGUGCCCUGGUUGUUGUUAUUUGUCAUAUUCUUUAAUAAGAGUUAUUACUGUACGUACAGAACGGAUUCAUCUGAUGUACAGCUACAACGCGGCACGCUCAAAUGGCGACUGACUGGAUGUUCCCUUAUGCUGGACAGCUCUAUGGAUUAAACAGAUUGUUACUUCCCUACGUUCAGAAGUUUGUGGCGAGGAAAAUCAAGCUAUAAGCCACUCGAGCCAUAGCAAUCUAGAUUAAAUGUCUCAUUCUAACUUUGCUAGCUACUAGCUCCUUGAUCUAGUCAUCUAUUUAGCAUUGAGAAUACUUGUCUGGGUAUCUUUACCAUCUUUAUUGACCCGGAUUUGGAAGGACUUAUUACAGUUGUAACCUUCUGCUUCUUAUUUUAUCUAAGUUUAUCAGAAAUAAGUCAAGAGGAGAGAAAUUGUAAGAUAAUAUGGUAGCCACUUCUAGAUAAAGAUCACUCUUAAUAGGUCAACUUGCUUCUAAAAAUGAACCUAUAAUCAAUUAAGUCCUUGGUAGAUCCUCAAACAAGUCAAUGACACCGUGAUUGAGUCGGAAUAUUUGCUUCUUGAUCUCAGGCUUAAGAAUUAUGAAAUACCAGCCCACUAUA